AUUGAACGCUGGCGGCAGGCCUAACACAUGCAAGUCGAACGAGUGGCGGACGGGUGAGUAAUGUCUGAGAAUCUGCCUGAUGGAGGGGGAUAACUACGGGAAACGGUAGCUAAUACCGCAUAACAUCAGAUGCGACCAGAUGGGAUUAGGUAGUUGGGUGGGGAAAGGCUCACCAAGGCGACGAUCCCUAGCUGGUCUGAGAGGAUGACCAGCAACACUGGAACUGAGACACGGGCCAGACUCCUACGGGAGGCAGCAGUGGGGAAUAUUGCACAAUGGGCGCAAGCCUGAUGCAGCCAUGCCGCGUGAAGGAAGAAGGCCUUCGGGUUGUAAAGUACUUUCAGCGGGGAGGCGUUACCCGCAGAAGAAGCACCGGCUAACUCCGUGCCAGCAGCCGCGGUAAUUC
rnacentral:rRNA from 1 species